rnacentral:tRNA from 1 species
GGUUGAUUAAGUUUUGAAGUUUUGAAAAUUUUAAGUGGCUGUGCCAUCAACUU